rnacentral:lncRNA from 1 species
CUGAGACUGACCUGCAGGACGAAACCAUGAAGAGCCUGAUCCUUCUUGCCAUCCUGGCCGCCUUAGCGGUAGUAACUUUGUAAUCACAUGAAAGCAUGGAAUCUUAUGAACUUAAUCCCUUCAUUAACAGGAGAAAUGCAAAUACCUUCAUAUCCCCUCAGCAGAGAUGGAGAGCUAAAGUCCAAGAGAGGAUCCGAGAACGCUCUAAGCCUGUCCACGAGCUCAAUAGGGAAGCCUGUGAUGACUACAGACUUUGCGAACGCUACGCCAUGGUUUAUGGAUACAAUGCUGCCUAUAAUCGCUACUUCAGGAAGCGCCGAGGGACCAAAUGAGACUGAGGGAAGAAAAAAAAUCUCUUUUUUUCUGGAGGCUGGCACCUGAUUUUGUAUCCCCCUGUAGCAGCAUUACAGAAAUACAUAGGCUUAUAUACAAUGCUUCUUUCCUGUAUAUUCUCUUGUCUGGCUGCACCCCUUUUUCCCGCCCCCAGAUUGAUAAGUAAUGAAAGUGCACUGCAGUGAGGGUCAAAGGAGAGUCAACAUAUGUGAUUGUUCCAUAAUAAACUUCUGGUGUGAUACUUUC